ensembl:lncRNA
GUCCGGGCUUGUGAGAAGGUUAGGUUCUUGCCUGGGUAGCUGUAGUAGAGACUGACCUGAUGGCAAUCCCUGGGCUACUGGAAAUAUCCAGAAGUCUGAAUUCAGAUGGAUGCAGAUAGAAAUUCCUUGGAUUACAGACAUAAUAUGAGCAUUUGAGGAGUGUGUGUAACACUGGCCUUGCUGCGAUUCAAGCUGAUCCUGUAAAUAAGCUGAUAAAAUGUUGUUUAGAAUUGAUCUCCCUACGUUUCAUUACCUGACCAAUCUGAAAAUGCCCUAUUUAUUCUCACCACUAGGUGCUGCUAGUGGUUCACCAGCUGGAAGUGAAGGUCUCCAAAGGCACUUGGGAAUCUGCAUUGAUGUCUGUUCUCCUCACGUAAGGAGACCAGUGUUCUCUGCCAGCGCCUUGAAGAGCUGAAAACCUGUAUCUAGUGAGAGGGAAUCCACUAGGCUCUUUAGAGAGCCUCUGGUUGAGUUACAUCAUCACCUUCAGAGAUCUUCCUGUGGUAGAACUGCCAGUUUCUCUGCACAGCUGUGACAUGCUGUACUGGGUGUUCUCAGCUGUGCGUGCUGAGAUGGUGUGGUGAAAUACUGGGGGUGAGGGGACACAUUCCCUUCCCUCUUGUUUUGCCUAACUCGUUCUCAAAAUACACUAUUUCUCCUCCGUCUUCCAGGACCUACGGUGAGCUGACCCCAAUUUUACUGUUUGAGGGGGAGCAAUCUUUGGGGGAGGGUGGGGGGGUGUGAAAGAGGCAAAACAGGAGGCCUCGGUUUUUCAACAGGAAAGAAAAUGCUUUGCUUCUGCCAGCUGUUGUUGUUUUCCUUACUCUGUUGUUUCCUCUGAGUGUGCUGUGACUUCUUUGUUCUCUGGAGAAAACAAACUUUGUGGGGAGAGCAGCCUUUAUUAAUGAAAGCAAACAGCCACUGCUUUGUUAUUGACUGUAUGAUGCCCUGAUAAUGUUUUGCAAACAUAAUUCCUGCUGUGCUGGAAGGAGUUUCAUGACUGGAAGUUGGAGAGCAGAGAUGGCUUGUGGAGGUUAUUGGGCUUAUGGUGGUUUGGAUAUACAUGCUGCAUUUCGUUGUGCAAUGAUCGAAAGCAGAACUCCAGGAGAUCAAGAAGGCAACUAAAGCAAGUGUUAUGUAGUGUUCUUCCUUUAAAGGUGGUCGCAUUUGACACUCCUCUUUUUCUUCCACGCGUUUUGGGCAUCAUGCUCCGUUCUUCCCUUUGCCUUUCUUUUUCUACAGUACCUUUUAUUCCCUAGUGUUUCACUUGCAUUGCCUUCCUACUGUCUCUUAGGAUUUGAAGAGAGUUGUGGAGGGAGUAGAUGACUCUCACUAAAGCCUGAUGACUGUGUCAAGUGUCCAGAAGACUUGCGUGGGUUCUGGGAGUACAGAUGUUAGUUCAGUUCCCUGUUAGGCCGAUGGAGGCCAGCACACACAAAGUCUUGACUGUGC